rnacentral:ncRNA from 1 species
UUGCAGGGGGGGUCAGUAUUACCCCCCUGCAACUUCUGUAUCUUGUAGCA